UUCUGAAACCCAAACCCAAACCACCAUCGGUCCUCCUCUCCCACGACUCAACGACUCCGCCUUCUCUAGCACAACCGCUCCACCUUAGUCGAAGCCACCAACUUUGAAAAUCUCUCUACCCUUCUCCUUCCCCCAAAACCCAAAUCUCUAUCCUUUUCCUUCCCUCAAAACCCAACUCUGAAUUUUUUUCCAAAAACUAUAAAAACUAAAACUAAAACCUGUAACAUGCAACCACUCCUAUUUAUUCUUAGAAACCAUCUCCUUCUCCCCAAAUCCUCACCCAAAACUCCUAUAGCAUGCGACCCCUCCUCUCUCUUCUUAGAAACCAUCUGGUCUAAACUUGCUCAAGUAGCAAAUAUAAUACCAGUCCGAUUUGUGUGAGCCCUGAAGCAAGAUUUGGAAGAGGAGAUCAGGUUUAUUUGGGCGACUCAGACUGAGACUCAGGGUUGCUAGGAACACAACCCAGCAGUUUUGGGAUGGCUCUUCGCAUGAGGAACUGUUACAUUAAUGGAACUGAAUGAAGGUAAAGAUAAAUUCUGCUGAUGGGUUUCAUUGGUAAUAAAAAGAGAUAUUUGGAUGACCAGCUUGAAGUUUGAAGAUUUCAAGAAUUGCAAGAUGACAACAUGUACAUUUUGUGGGCAAAGGUUGCUGGCCAAAUCUGGUGUGGCAUUGGGUUACAUUCAUGAGGUAACCUUCUUUGAGAUAAGACUAUUUGGUGGAGUGAUGAAUUUUGGUUAUCCUUCUCUGCAUAAUGGAAGACAGUGUCACUGCUCAUUCACUAAGUAAUAUUCCCCUAAUAAGAAACUAUUUUUUAAAUUACAACUGGAGAGAUGUAAACCAAUUUUGAACAUAUAAAUCUAUUCCUGUUCAAGAAUAAUAGAAUCAUAAA